rnacentral:misc_RNA from 1 species
UGGUGGGAUCUUUAAUGAAGAGGUAAAAUCUUUAUCAUGCUUUGUGAUUUCAUUUUUCGUCAUGAGUAGUUAUUAGCAUUGGAACUGAUAAAUUGAUAAAAGUGGCUAAAAAAUGUAUAUUGCUACUACUAACUGUGGUUCUUCUCUAUUUCAUGAGUUCCUUUUUUCUAAUUUUUUGGAUAUUUAAAUUGCUAUCAUGUUUGAGUAAUAUACUUUACGAUACCAUCUGAUGAUAAAAGGAACUCAUUGUUGUAUAAGACUUUUAUAAUGGUUGUUAAUAAUCCUUUUCUUUUUCUUUUGUUCUGUGGCACUAGCAUUGAUGCAUUCAUCCAAAUUUUUGCUUUGGGAGUGGAACAAAUCUGUUGGUGAGACACAAGUACAACUGCAUGUGCAUUAGAGAAGUACUGAAUUUGUUGCUAAGACAGAAGUACAGAUGCAUUAGUCAGAUAAAUUUUUAAAACUAACUUUGAUUGCCAUAAUCAUUUUUUUUUUUUGUAGAAACUAUAUAUAAUUAUUAUUUUUAUAUUUCCUGAUUUUGUUCCUUAUAAAUUUUGCUUGGAAUAUGAAUCAGGUGCUCAAGGCCAUGCAAGAAU